rnacentral:tRNA from 1 species
UACUGUUGAGAAAGACUUUCUGUACGUGGCAGAAGGUAAGUCUCGUCUAGCAUCAAAAAUAGAACUAUCAGACAAGACAAAGGCACUCGGUGGAAAACUAAAACAUUUUGGAGCCUUCUCUAACUAA